CACGUCAGCGCGCUUUGCUGACGUGGACACAAAUCGCGCUUUGUUCCCAUGUCAGCAAAUCGCGCUGACGUGG
rfam:Gossypium hirsutum cultivar TM-1 chromosome 18, whole genome shotgun sequence